rnacentral:rRNA from 1 species
AUCUCCUGGACUCUUCUAGCUGCCUCAGUUCCAGCUCCAUGAGGCGUUUCCCACAAGGCCACAAGGUGAGACCGUGAGAUGCAGACCACCGUCUGGGGCCCUCGCCGACGCCGGCGGCAAGUAGGGACGCGUUGCGGUAGCAAGGCCCGCAUCCGGCGCGUCCAAUCGCGGGACUAAACUGUGGCAGCUGCUCCCUUGCCUAUGUUCCCCUCAGUUCGAGAUCAGAGACAAUUCACACAAGGUGAGAUGCGGUCUGCCGUCCGAGACCGUCGCCGUCGCCGGCGGCAGGGCGAGAGCUAUGCUGUGUAGCACCGUUUGCGUCCGGCGUGCCUAAGCUGUGGCAGCUGCUCCAUGCUGUUGUUCCCUGCCGAACAACAUCGCGCGUGGGGGCGGUCAGCGGGUACCUCGAGAUACAGCAGGGGCUCAUGUAGACUCACUUCAAGUUUGGAACUCGAUGCAAGCUCAGAGGCAGAGAUUCAAGGCGCAAAAACGUACCUAUGCAUGAUGAAGUGCCAGGAGCUGCUUCCAUGCUCAAGAACACAGUGGAUGCAUGCUGAUCCACAGAGAGAGCAAUUUUCUAUCAAUCCUGAUCUAUUCUCAUGUGAUCUAGGGGGCAACAUUGACAAUGUAGUAGAUGGGCAGGAGAAAGGAUGUAGCCGGGAAGAUAUCUUGGCGGUAAUCUGUUGUUACACAGGAGAAAAAAAGUUUGUUUUGCUGAUUAUCUGGAACAAAUUAGAGAGGUAUGCUGUGUUUUAUUACUGAAUCCAACUUCCAUGUUGUGUUUCUCCUUUGUGCAUGCUCAUGAAUCCUGGUUCCUCUUUUUUUUUAUUGUGCAUUCUCAGUUGCUAAUUUUUGUUAUGUCCAUCCAAUGAGAGGCUUUCCUUCCUUUAUUUUCUCUGCCAGAUUUGUACGGUGUUUUCUCUCAAAGUCAGAAUUGAACAUCUCUCAAUGAGAGGCUUUCCUUCCUUUUUGUUAGAGAUUUCAUUGUUCCUCCUUCCUUUGAUUUAGAAGAUGAUCAAGAUUUCCUUCAGUCCCUCAAUUCCUUCCCUUCCUUAGUUAAUUUCCUUCCUUAUUUCUCUGCGAGAGUCACUCAAUUCAUUCCCUUCCUUGGUUAAUUUCCGUCCUUAUUUCUUUGCCAUAGUCACUCAAUUCAUUCCCUUCCUUAUUCCUUGCACGCUUUAGCUCUCACACCCUUGGCUACGACUCCUUGAUACGGAGAAAACAUAACAGCAUAUUUAAAUUGGGAGGAUUUAAUGGAAGAGGGCGAGGUGGGACUAUUCUGCACAAGAGGAAGAGGGAAGAUAGCUCUGCAGCGGCGCCAUGGCUCCUUGCCGCGAACUCGACAGAGUCCAUGUGCAGGGGCAGGCGGAGGCCGGCGCCGGCAAGCAGGCAGUGGAGCGCGUUGACGGAGCCGUGGUGGAGGUCAUGGGCGCCGAUCUGCUCCACCCACCUCGAGCCGACGCGAGGAAGAGGGAAGAUAGCUCAUUAGCUCUGCAGCGGCGCCAUGGCUGCCGGAUGGCGAGCGCCUCAUCGCUGCUGCUGGCCACAAGCGCCUCACCGCGACUUCUGGCCGACGAGCACAGGGGAGCUCGGCUGCUGGGAAUGGAGCUCCGCAGCGGCGGCGGCUCGGUGGAGGCAGGCAAUGGAUAAGUGGUGGAGGUGGCCGGUGGUUGCAGGUUUUUUUUGCAAAAAACGAAACGUUAUCUUGCCAGGAACACACUUAAAAUAGGACUGCGGGUUUAUUUCUCAGAAAGGGAGGGACUUUUCUGCAAAACGCCAUCGACGGACGACCAGAAGCAAUCGCUGGUUUAUUAUUAGGGAAAGAUUUUUGGGACUAACCUAUUAACCGGAGGCCCAGCCCAAAUUGCUGUUUUUUUGCCUAUUUCAGUGUUUCGAAGGAAAAGGAUAUCAAACGGAGUCCAAACGGAAUGAAACCUUUGGGAACGUGAUUUUUGGAACAAACGUGAUCCAGAGGACUUGGAGUGGACGCCAAGCAACCGACGAGGAAGCCACGAGGCAGGGGGGCACGCCUACCCCCUGGCGUGCCCUCCACCCUCGUGGGCCCCUCGUAGCUCUCCUGACCGACCUCCUUCGCCUAUAUUACUCAUAUACCCUGGAAACAUCAUAUACGGAGCAAAAACCCUAUUUCCACCGCCGCAACCUUCUGUACCUGUGAGAUCCCAUUUUGGGGCCUUUUCCGGCGCUCCGCCGGAGGGGGCAUUGAUCACGGAGGGCUUCUACAUCAACACCAUAGCCUCUUCGAUGAUGUGUGAGUAGUUUACCUCAGACCUUCGGGUCCAUAGUUAUUAGCUAGAUGGCAUCUUCUCUCUUUUUGGAUCUCAAUACAAAGUUCUCCUCGAUUCUCUUGGAGAUCUAUUUGAUGUAACUCUUCUUUUGCGGUGUGUUUGUCGAGAUCCGAUGAAUUGUGGGUUUAUGAUCAAGAUUAUCUAUGAAUAAUAUUUGAUUCUCC